rnacentral:rRNA from 1 species
CAGUAGCCGCGGUAAUACGGAGGGAGCUAGCGUUAUUCGGAAUUACUGGGCGUAAAGCGCACGUAGGCGGCUUUGUAAGUAAGAGGUGAAAGCCCAGAGCUCAACUCUGGAAUUGCCUUUUAGACUGCAUCGCUUGAAUCAUGGAGAGGUCAGUGGAAUUCCGAGUGUAGAGGUGAAAUUCGUAGAUAUUCGGAAGAACACCAGUGGCGAAGGCGGCUGACUGGACAUGUAUUGACGCUGAGGUGCGAAAGCGUGGGGAGCAAACAGGAUUAGAUACCCGCGUAGUCCCUGUCUCUUAUAC